GACGAACGCUGGCGGCGUGCUUAACACAUGCAAGUCGAACGGAAAGGCCCUGCUUUUGUGGGGUGCUCGAGUGGCGAACGGGUGAGUAACACGUGAGUAACCUGCCCUUGACUUUGGGAUAACUUCAGGAAACUGGGGCUAAUACCGGAUAGGAGCUCCUGCUGCAUGGUGGGGGUUGGAAAGUUUCGGUGGUUGGGGAUGGACUCGCGGCUUAUCAGCUUGUUGGUGGGGUAGUGGCUUACCAAGGCUUUGACGGGUAGCCGGCCUGAGAGGGUGACCGGCCACAUUGGGACUGAGAUACGGCCCAGACUCCUACGGGAGGCGGCAGUGGGGAAUAUUGCACAAUGGGCGGAAGCCUGAUGCAGCAACGCCGCGUGCGGGAUGACGGCCUUCGGGUUGUAAACCGCUUUCGCCUGUGACGAAGCGUGAGUGACGGUAAUGGGUAAAGAAGCACCGGCUAACUACGUG
rnacentral:rRNA from 1 species